rnacentral:rRNA from 1 species
GCCUACGGGAGGCAGCAGUGAGGAAUAUUGGUCAAUGGGCGGGAGCCUGAACCAGCCAAGUCGCGUGAGGGAAGACGGUCCUAUGGAUUGUAAACCUCUUUAGGCGGGGAGCAAUGCCGGGCACGCGUGCCCGGAGGGAGAGUACCCGCAGAAUAAGCAUCGGCUAACUCCGUGCCAGCAGCCGCGGUAAUACGGAGGAUGCGAGCGUUAUCCGGAUUUAUUGGGUUUAAAGGGUGCGUAGGCGGUCCGUUAAGUCAGCGGUAAAAUUGCGGGGCUCAACCCCGUCGAGCCGUUGAAACUGGCAG